rnacentral:rRNA from 1 species
AUGUGGAGUGCAGAUCUUCAAGUGAAUGUACAUAUCUCUAACUUCCUUGUUAUCCUUGCUUCAGUAGUCAAUGUAGCUUCCAGAGAGGAAGUUGCGUUGGUUUGUGUUUAUGGGGAUCCUUACCAUAAGCAGAUUAGUCAAAUUUGGGAUCUUGUGGCUUCUUUUGUGUAUGAUAAUGUCAACAAGCCAAUAGUUUGUAUGGGAGACAUGAAUGACUUGUUGUAUGAUAUGGACAAAAGCUCCCAUCAUGUUAAUACUAAUCGUAUCAGUGCUUUCCGUAACAUUGUCAAAAAUUGUGGUUUCUUUGAUUUGGGAUAUAGUGGCCAUGCUUACACUUGGACUAACAAACGCUAUACUUCUAUGCCUAUUUUUGAGCGCCUUGAUAUAUGCUUGGUCAAUGCUGAAUGGUGUGCCUUGUAUCCGAUUACUAAUGUUUACAAUCUACCUAUCACUAUUAGCGAUCAUGCUCCCUUCUCAUAUCCACGGAUGGUAAAUUUAAAAAGCCUUUACAAAGUUUCAAAUUUGAAAAUUGGUGGCUUAUGGAAAAGAAUUUUCAUGCUUAUACUAAAGCUUCUUGGAGUAGCACUGCUCAUUGUCCUUUCUAUGCUAGAACUAAUCACCUUGCAGGGUCUCUCAAAAAUGGUGUAA